AUACUUACCUGGCAGGGGAGAUACCAUGAUCACGGAGGUGGUUUUCCCAGGGCGAGGCUUAUCCAUUGCACUCCGGAUGUGCUGACCCCUGCAACCCCCCCCCCCAAAAAAAGAAAAAAAAAUAACCGGGUAUUUCCUAAGACUUUUGGAAUACUUUAGC
ensembl:snRNA U1 U1 spliceosomal RNA